UUUCAUGUUGAAGGAUACAAGAAAUAGGACAUUAUAUUAAUCCAAUAGGAGCAAUGGUCCUCCAACUAAAAAUCCAUGACUAGUAGUCCCUUAACUCAUAAAAACGUGCAGCUAUGGUCCUUUUUGUUAAAUAAGUCACACGCAUAUGAGGCUAAAUAAAGGGGUAAAUGUGGAAAACCAAAUGAAAAAAAAAUUGUAGCAAUGGUCCCUCAAAAUAACCCAAUUGAAGAAAUAGUCCCUCAACUUUAACCCAAUUGGAGCACUGGUCCCUCAACUUUAAUCCAAUUGUAGCAAUGGUCCUUCCAACAUAAGUCAUUUUAAUGGAAUUAUGAUGGAAUUAGCGAAAAUGACCAUAAUUACACGUUUUAAUGAGUUAAAGGACCAAUAGUCAUGAAUUUUUAGUUGAAGGAUCAUUGCCACUUAGAUUAAAGUUGACAGACCAUUGCUACAAUUUCCUCUACAAGAAACGUAAGGGUUUAGUGAUAAAAACCUCUAAACUUGUUGAUUUGCAGGUGAUGCGAUGCAAACUAUGAAAAUAAUGUUAGUGUGAUUAAGUGUAGACCAAUGUCGAAUUUUAUGAAUCUAUCAUUGCUUAUUCGCUUAAAUGACUAAUCUAGAAUUGGUUGCACGUGUGUUUGCUAUGUGGUGCUCUCAUAUGAAGGAGCAUAUUGAAGAAUACAAAAAAUAUCACAUAUGAGGAUUGACAAAAUUAAAUGUAACUUAUAUUGAAUUGUUCCACUUUUAACACCUCCAAUGCGUUUGUUGACACACCCCGAUCCUAGAAUCAAGGCGUGCUGGCCGUCACGUGAGCGUGACGUAACCAUAAGUACGAUGCGGGAGCAAAAGAUACGAGAAUUUUGAAGAAGUAAAAACCAACAACUAGCAAAUAUAACCCAAUAGCAUGCUAGAGUGAGUUAAAGUGUGAACACACACAUAAAUAGAGCUUAAGCAACUAGGUGCAGUCAAGUAGGACCAAACUAAAUUACAACACCCGCAGGUGAGUUCUACAUGCAGGAAGUCUGUCAGAACGCCGAAGAAAACCUCGUGAGCCACCGACUGCUAACUAGAACCUGGAGGGACGCAAAACAAAAUUGAGUGGGUCAGUAAAACAAAA
rnacentral:lncRNA from 1 species